rnacentral:rRNA from 1 species
AUGUGUACACAUAGGAUAAGAAAGAACUGGUACCACACGGAGGAUGAGAAAAGAACUGCUGGCUACUGUGUCGUCCGCCAUGGGCACGGGCUAGCGUAUCAUUGUCCGUGUUCCAUGAACAUGAGUGUCUCACACAAAAGCAAAAUGGGCAGCGAUCUAACACACACGAGAAAAAGACCGAGGCACUACUACCACGGGCAAGUCAUUAAGAAAACGAGAGCAAAGGUUCAGUUUGCAGACCUUCCUGAUGAUCUGCUGUCUAUGAUUCUAUCAAAAUUGCCACUGAAGGAAGCUGCAAGAACCGUUAUUCUGUCAAGUAAAUGGAACGACGUGUGGAGAGUUUGCCCCAAACUGAGAUUUGAUGGCUUCACAGUGUGCAGUGACAUCGUGUUUGGGGGAGAACAGUACACUCAGAAAUUCAUUGACAAUGUUAAUGCAGUCAUGCAGAAGCAUCAGUGCAUGGUCGUUGAAGAGCUCGUGAUCAAAUUUGGGUUUGACCACAGGGUACUAGAUCAUAUCAAUACCUGGGUUGCUUUUGCUAUAUCAUCGCGGACAAAGAGCCUUGCCCUUGAUUUAGGACCAGUCGACAUCCAAGGUCGUAUUGAUCAGUACAGAUUUCCGGUCGAGCCUUUAGACAACAGAAGCAUAUCCCGGCUUCGUCAUCUUCAACUUAGCGUUGCAUCAUUUGAACUACCCCCUCAAUUCAGCGGUUUCCCGAAUCUGAGAGCACAUGACUUGCACUUGGUAAAUGUCACUCGGAAGGAUCUUCAAGACAUGCUGUCAAAUUGCAUUAAUCUUGAGUGGUUCAGUAUGGUUAGAUGCCAUUUGAAUGAUGAACUGAUAGUAGCUCGUCCAUUGUCAAACCUGAUAUACCUGCGUGUUGCACACUUCAAGAUAACCAAGAUAGUACUCCAUGCGGUGGAACUCAAAACUUUCUUAUUCUAUGGACGUCUGUAUCCAAUCGACCUUGGGCAUACUCCCAAACUGAAGCACACAUUUCUUGAUAUCUAUUCCCUGUUAACUGUUGAGCAUGCUUUGACUGUGCUUCCCAAAGUGCUUCCAAGUGUUCAAGAUCUGACAUUGCAUGCUCAUUUUACUCUUAAGAUGCCUUUGUUGAUGGAAAUCCAUGCAAGUUUUCCCAGUUGA